rnacentral:rRNA from 1 species
CAGUCGCCACGGUAAUACGUAGGGUGCGAGCGUUAAUCGGAAUUACUGGGCGUAAAGCGUGCGCAGGCGGUUGUGUAAGACAGGUGUGAAAUCCCCGGGCUUAACCUGGGAACUGCGCUUGUGACUGCACAGCUAGAGUAUGGCAGAGGGGGGUGGAAUUCCACGUGUAGCAGUGAAAUGCGUAGAGAUGUGGAGGAACACCGAUGGCGAAGGCAGCCCCCUGGGCCAAUACUGACGCUCAUGCACGAAAGCGUGGGGAGCAAACAGGAUUAGAGACCCCUGUAGUCCCUGUCUCUUAUAC